rnacentral:lncRNA from 1 species
GGUGUUGUUACGCACUUAUAUCAUAUGUCAGUAAUAUUCCAAUUCAAGCAAGGAAGGAAAUACAAAAGAAUGGAUUUUCAAACAAGUGGAACAAGCCCCUUAACUCAUAAGCGUAAACGCCUCGAAACACAAUAAUAACGCGUUAGCACACAAGUAAAUAAACCUUCUUUUGUGGGAGUAAGCUCUGUUUGAAUAAGCUCCG